ACUUUAAAAGCUUUGCAGUAAGCAUUAGUUUUGUAAACUAAAGAAGGUUUAACCUUAAAGUG
rnacentral:tRNA from 1 species